GCUCCCUGUGUGGUCAUGCGGUUCAUGAGCCGGGACUGAAGCUCAGGCCAGCCUGACCCCAGGGCUGACGUGCACCGGGAUUGUGGGGAGUUUCCAGAAAACCGGUUCCUGAGAAGAAGCCAGCUCAGCCUCUGGCAGCCUGCUCAGCACAGAGGAGUCACUCAGUAGAUAUUUGCUGAAUGAGUAAGCUGUGGUUCAUUAUGGGGACCUGGGAGACUGGAAGGCUUGGCUCUACUGUGCCCCUGCAGUAACAAUCCAGGAGGCAGGAGCUGAACCAGUUUACAGGGAAAGAUGGAAAAACUCACCCACUAUGGAUCUGAGAAGAGCUGAGAAGGUUUAAAACGUUGACUUUGCUAUCUGGAGGAAGAACAUUUCAUGUAGAGGGAGCAGCAAGCGUGAAGGCCCUGAGAAGAGGAUGUGCCAGCUUGUGCAAGGAACCGCAGAGGCCAGAGUAUGCCUCCUGGACACCUGGCCCUGGGACGGACGUACGGACGAGCAGGAAAAAACCAGGACACCAUUUAUAAAGAAGUAACUCCAGUAAAGGCAGCACUUCAGUGUUGAGUACAGAGAGCUCUGGAAAGUUCGCUGUUCAGUCCUGACUGAGUCCCAUGGGAACAUCCUCAGUUUUACAUGUUUCUAUUUUAGGGCUUUUUUCUCAAAUUAAUCAAAGUUAUGAAAACAUAUUUACUCUUUGAUGAUUACUAUUUUAAAAGAUUAUCUGCAUCUUGGGAGGGAGAAUGACGUAGAAGUAGUUCGGACUUUGGAAGUUAGAGCGAGGUAAAAAAAUCUAGGUUUUCCCCUUAAUUAACUAUGUAAUAAGCAAUAGUCACGUCAGCUUCAGUUUCCAAAUCUGUAUAACACCUGCCCCGUAAGGUUAUUUUGAAGAUUAAAUAAGAAAAUGUAAACAAAAUUCUUAUUAAAUGACCUGGCAUAUUGCA